rnacentral:rRNA from 1 species
UACGGAGGGUGCAAGCGUUGUUCGGAAUUAUUGGGCGUAAAGCGCGCGCAGGCGGCCUGGAAAGUCUAUGGGUGAAAUGCCGGGGCUCAACCCCGCUGCAUGCCCAGGAUACUGCCAGGCUGGAGACACGUAGAGGCAAGCGGAAUUCCGGGUGUAGCGGUGGAAUGCGUAGAGAUCCGGAAGAACACCGGAGGCGAAGGCGGCUUGCUGGGCGUGAUCUGACGCUGAGGCGCGAAAGCGUGGGGAGCGAACAGG